GUCUGGUUCAAAGGGGCAACUCCGUGUCACUGCAGCCACCCCAACCUCUGAGAACAGCUUGUUGUGAGCCGCAGAACAAGACGGACUUCUCUUGUGGGAAAAGGCGCCUGCUAUAUGGAGCCAUCCUGAGAUCCUACCCACAGGUCGGUAUCCUGAAAACAGAUGGAAAGCAUUUGAUUCAUCUCUGUUUUCUGAAACAGCAUGUUACUGUGCCAUCAUUUCUUCUUAAAAUGUUUAGUACAAUUCAACAGUAAAAGUAUUUGAGUUUCAGUUAUCUCUGGGGUAAUAUUUUAAAAAUGAACUUAAUUUCUUAAACACACAUGACAACACUCAAUUUUUUUUCUUUACAUAUCAGGUUCCUUUAUUUGUAUUUUUGAAGAAAUAUGGGCAUUUCACAGAGGUUGCCAAAAUUGCUGAUGCAAAAUAUUUUAGCAUGCCUUUAAAAAUUUAAAAUAUGUGCAGCCAUCUCACCACUGGGAACACAUCUGAAGUAAAAGAAAGUCUGUUGAAAGACAUCUGCAUAGUAUGUCUUCGUGCAGUGUUUUAAGCUGCUCCUUGGGAUGCUCACAUCCCGUAUCAGAGGGCCAGUUUAAGUUCCAGCUCUCCCACUUCUUACCUUGCUUCCUGC